CGUGAGAUGUUGGGUUAAGUCCGUAACGAGCGCAACCCUUGUCCUUAGUUACCAGCACGUUAUGGUGGGCGACUCUAAGGAGGACUGCCGGUGACAAACCGGAGGAAGGUGGGGAUGACGUCAAGUCAUCAUGGCCCUUACGGCCUGGGCUACACACGUGCUACAAUGGUCGGUACAAAGGGUUGCCAAGCCGCGAGGUGGAGCUAAUCCCAUAAAACCGAUCGUAGUCCGGAUCGCAGUCUGCAACUCGACUGCGUGAAGUCGGAAUCGCUAGUAAUCGUGAAUCAGAAUGUCACGGUGAAUACGUUCCCGGGCCUU
rnacentral:rRNA from 1 species